rnacentral:rRNA from 1 species
UACGAAGGGGGCUAGCGUUGCUCGGAAUGACUGGGCGUAAAGGGCGCGUAGGCGUCUUGUACAGUCAGACGUGAAAUUCCUGGGCUCAACCUGGGGGCUGCGUUUGAUACGUAUGGGCUUGAGUUCGGAAGAGGGUCGUGGAAUUCCCAGUGUAGAGGUGAAAUUCGUAGAUAUUGGGAAGAACACCGGUGGCGAAGGCGGCGACCUGGUCCGAUACUGACGCUGAGGCGCGAAAGCGUGGGGAGCAAACAGG